GAUGAACGCUGGCGGCGUGCCUAAUACAUGCAAGUCGAGCGAACAGACGAGGAGCUUGCUCCUCUGACGUUAGCGGCGGACGGGUGAGUAACACGUGGAAAACCUACCUAUAAGACUGGGAUAACUUCGGGAAACCGGAGCUAAUACCGGAUAAUAUAUUGAACCGCAUGGUUCAAUAGUGAAAGACGGUUUUGCUGUCACUUAUAGAUGGAUCCGCGCCGCAUUAGCUAGUUGGUAAGGUAACGGCUUACCAAGGCGACGAUGCGUAGCCGACCUGAGAGGGUGAUCGGCCACACUGGAACUGAGACACGGUCCAGACUCCUACGGGAGGGAGCAGUAGGGAAUCUUCCGCAAUGGGCGAAAGCCUGACGGAGCAACGCCGCGUGAGUGAUGAAGGUCUUCGGAUCGUAAAACUCUGUUAUUAGGGAAGAACAAAUGUGUAAGUAACUAUGCACGUCUUGACGGUACCUAAUCAGAAAGCCACGGCUAACUACGUG
rnacentral:rRNA from 1 species